rnacentral:tRNA from 1 species
GGGGCGAUACCAGAGUGGCCAAAUGGGGCAGACUGUAAAUCUGCUGACUUAUGUCUUCGGUGGUUCGAAUCCAUCUCGCCCCACCA